CAGAUUUCUGUGGAAGUAAUUGGAUUUUCAAGCACAAAUAAUGAAAACCAACAAUUAUAUACAAGUCAUAAAAGGUCUCAGACAUCCAAGGAAGGAAUGAAGCAGCACAAGCUCUCAAGCCCGGCGAAAAGCGAAAGCUCUUAGGCGGCCACUGCGAAUGUUUUGAGAAACAAGCCUUUGGAUUAUCAUCAUAAACCCAUACACAAGAAAUAUAUUUUCCUUUGACUAAAUUUUAAGAAUAUCGUUUAUCAAUUGAACUGAUAAAAAAAAAUAUGGAACCAAAUUUCUGAAAAAGUAACUGAAUUUUCAAGCACAAAUAAUGAAAACAACAAUCAUAUAGAAGUCAUAAAAGAUCUCAGACAUCCAAGGAAGGAAUGAAGCAGCACAAGCUCUCAAGCCCGGCGAAAGGCGAAAGCUCUUAGACGGCCACUGCGAAUGUUUUGAGAAACAAGCCUUACAACUUAUCAUCAUCGACUUUUAUAUUUGACUUCGUAACGUAGCAAGGAAAACACUACAUGGCAACUGAUUUCACACAACGCCCCAAAUUUUAUGCAUUCAAUUAUCAUCUUGCAAAUAAACAUAUCUAAAAAUAAGGCAGCAAAAGCAACAAACAAACAGAGCCUAAACAGAGUUGCUCGAUCAUUGAAAUUUUGAAACAAUGAAGCAUAAAAUAAGUAGAUAGCUAGUAAAAAUCAGAUUUAAUUAACAUAAAAGAAAUAUAUAUUUUUACUAGGGGUUAAAAAAAGUCUCAGACAUCCAAGGAAGGAGCAAAACAGCAGAAGCUCUCAAGCCCGGCGAAAGGCGAAAGCUCUCAGGCGGCCACUGCGAAUGUUUCUGAGAAACAAGCCUUUUUGAUUUAUCAUCAUCAACACAAUUCAUUCCAAGCAAACUAAGUUAAAAACAUUUCCAAAUAAAAAAAAAUUAAAAGGAAUAAACCUAUACUGAGAGGUCGAUAGUUUUGGGGCUGAUGCUAGAAGAGAAUGAGUAGAAGGGUUU
rnacentral:lncRNA from 1 species